UACCAGACACCCAAGCCUUACCAGACACCCAA
rnacentral:scRNA from 1 species